GGUUGCGUAGUGUAGCGGUUAUCACUCCAGAUUCUGAUUAUUGAACACUGUCUAAAUUAUUCUGGCAACCCCGGUUCGAUUCCGGGCGCGACCU